GAGCCGGGCAUUGGUGGCGCACGC
rnacentral:piRNA from 1 species